ACGUAGGGGGCAAGCGUUAUCCGGAUUUACUGGGUGUAAAGGGAGUGUAGACGGUAUGGUAAGUCAGAUGUGAAAGCCCAGGGCUCAACCCUGGGACUGCAUUUGAAACUAUCAGACUAGAGUGCGGGAGAGGUAAGUGGAAUUCCUAGUGUAGCGGUGAAAUGCGUAGAUAUUAGGAGGAACACCAGUGGCGAAGGCGGCUUACUGGACCGUGACUGACGUUGAGGCUCGAAAGCGUGGGGAGCAAACAG
rnacentral:rRNA from 1 species